GGGGAUGUAGCUCAGUUGGUAGAGCACCGGUCUCCAAAACCGGUGGUCGCAGGUUCGAGCCCUGCCAGCCCCG
rnacentral:tRNA from 1 species